AGGCAUACAGAUACUUCAUGUACCUGGAGGAAAAGAAGCAAGCAGGGAGAAUAAUCCAAAACAGCACCAGAGACCACCCAGUUGAGAACAACUUCCAGAGUGUUCCAGAAGAAAAGAUUCCUCUCUGGCCCUCAUUCUUCAGUGCUACUAUUGGUUUCACCGCUUCCAUCACCCAUGUAAUUAACUCAAAUGCUGACAAAACCAGGUCACCAAUCCAAGGGGGCCUUCCUGCCUGCCUUUCUCUGGGUCCUCUGCCACUGGGUUACAACAUCCCCUUUCUCCAGCCUCGGCUUCCUUUUCCCAGGCCCUGGCCACUCACUGCGUCCUGAGGGUGAAGGCGGCGCUGGUGAUGGAUGUGGGCAGGUUUAGGCCUUUGGUGAUCUCCCUCCAGAUCUUCUUGUUGAUGAUCUCCACCAGGCCCCCCUUCUCGGUCACCAGCUUAUACAGCAUGUACAGGUCCAGGAUCUGUUUGGCCAUGAUGGGGAUUCGGUUGAUGGGGGUCCCUGUGGUUGUCCAAUGAGAGAAAGAGACAGCGGGAUCAUCAUCAGGCUGAGAAGAAAGAUUCCGUGUAUGCCCACCUUUAGCCGAGCUGGAAACAAUGCUCAUCAACCUGGAAGUGUAAUUUAACUCAAACUCCCCAAGCCUCAACACUCAGACUAGCUGUCAGGACAGGUCCAACGCACAGGCUGUGUGGGCCUUUGGCAAAGCACUUAGCCUCUCUGGUUCUGUUUUGCCGUCUGUAAAUAAGAGGGCCAGACUAGAUGAUUUCAAAGGUGCUUGUUUUUUAGU